GACGAACGCUGGCGGCGUGCUUAACACAUGCAAGUCGAACGGAGUGGCGAACGGGUGAGUAACACGUGGGUGACCUGCCCUGCACUUCGGGAUAAGCCUGGGAAACUGGGUCUAAUACCGGAUAGUGUGGGAUGGGCCCGCGGCCUAUCCGCUAGUUGGGGGGGUAAUGGCCUACCAAGGCGGCGACGGGUGGCCGGCCUGGGAGGGUGGACGGCCACUUGGGGACGGAGACACGGCCCAGACUCCUACGGGGGGCAGCAUGGGGGAAUAUUGCACACUGGGCGGAAGCCGGAUGAGGCGACGCGGCGUGGGGAUGACGGCCUUCGGGUUGUAAACUCCUUUCACCAUCGACGCGGUAGAUGGAGAAGAAGCACCGGCUAACUACGUGCCAGCAGCCGCGGUAAUAC
rnacentral:rRNA from 1 species